UGGGGAAUAUUGGGCAAUGGAGGAAACUCUGACCCAGCGACGCCGCGUGAGGGAUGAAGGCCUUCGGGUUGUAAACCUCUUUCAGUAGGGAAGAAGCGAAAGUGACGGUACCUACAGAAGAAGCACCGGCUAACUAUGUGCCAGCAGCCGCGGUAAUACAUAGGGUGCAAGCGUUGUCCGGAGUUACUGGGCGUAAAGAGCUCGUAGGUGGUUCGAUACGUCGGAUGUGAAAAUCAGGGGCUCAACCCCUGACCUGCAUCCGAUACGGUCGAGCUAGAGUUUGGUAGGGGAGACUGGAAUUCCUGGUGUAGCGGUGGAAUGCGCAGAUAUCAGGAGGAACACCGAUGGCGAAGGCAGGUCUCUGGGCCAAUACUGACACUGAGGAGCGAAAGCGUGGGGAGCGAACAGGAUUAGAUACCCUGGUAGUCCACGCCGUAAACGGUGGGCGCUAGUUGUGCGAACCUUCCACGGUUUGUGCGACGCAGCUAACGCAUUAAGCGCCCCGCCUGGGGAGUACGAUCGCAAGAUUA
rnacentral:rRNA from 1 species